rnacentral:rRNA from 1 species
ACGCUGGCGGCGUGCCUAACACAUGCAAGUCGAGCGGUAACAGGUGUAGCAAUACAUGCUGACGAGCGGCGGACGGGUGAGUAACGCUUGGGAAUCUGCCUAUUAGUGGGGGACAACCCGGGGAAACUCGGGCAAAUACCGCAUACGCACUACGGUGGAAAGCCGGGGACCGCAAGGCCUGGCGCUAAUAGAUGAGCCCAAGUCGGAUUAGCUAGUUGGUAGGGUAACGGCCUACCAAGGCGACGAUCCGUAACUGGUCUGAGAGGACGACCAGUCACACCGGAACUGAGACACGGUCCGGACUCCUACGGGAGGCAGCAGUGGGGAACAUUGGACAAUGGGCGAAAGCCUGAUCCAGCGACGCCGCGUGGGUGAAGAAGGCCUGCGGGUUGUAAAGCCCUUUCGGUGGGGAAGAAAAGCCUCGGCCUAACACGUCGGGGUAUUGACGUAACCCAUUAAAGAAGCACCGGCUAACUCUGUGCCAGCAGCCGCGGUAAUACAGAGGGUGCGAGCGUUAAUCGGAAUUACUGGGCGUAAAGCGCGCGUAGGCGGUUUUGUAAGUCGGGUGUGAAAUCCCCAAGCUUAACUUGGGAACUGCAUUCGAGACUGCAUAGCUAGAGUAUGGGAGAGGGAAGUGGAAUUUCAGGUGUAGCGGUGAAAUGCGUAGAUAUCUGAAGGAACAUCAGUGGCGAAAGCGACUUCCUGG